UACGUAGGGUGCAAGCGUUGUCCGGAUUCAUUGGGCGUAAAGAGCUCGUAGGCGGUUUGUCGCGUCGAAUGUGAAAACCCGGGGCUCAACCCCGGGCCUGCAUUCGAUACGGGCAGACUAGAGUUCGGUAGGGGAGUCUGGAAUUCCUGGUGUAGCGGUGAAAUGCGCAGAUAUCAGGAGGAACACCGGUGGCGAAGGCGGGACUCUGGGCCGAUACUGACGCUGAGGAGCGAAAGCGUGGGGAGCAAACAGG
rnacentral:rRNA from 1 species